rnacentral:rRNA from 1 species
AGGAUAAAGUCGUAACAAGGUUUCCGUAGGUGAACCUGCGGAAGGAUCAUUAUCGAGUUUUUGAAAGCAAGUUUGUAGCUGGCAUUAAUAUGUAUUGUGCUCGACUUGUGCUCAAUCCACUCAACCCCCUGUGCACCUUUCGAAUGUUGUCUAGUCGGUCUUUUCCGAUUAGGGUUCGCGUGCGUCUUACCCGACGUGUGCUUACCCUUGCUACUCUUGGAAACCAGAGAUUUGCGUUUAGUAUUUAAAAAGGUUAAUCCUUUUGAGCUUCGCGUGUGUCUUCUGGCUCGGGAUCGACAGAUGCUUCGUAUUUUAAUUUAUAAACCCAUUUGAAAUGUCUUGUAGAAUGUUGCAGCCUCUUUGUUGGGCGAAAUAAAUUACAACUUUCAACAACGGAUCUCUUGGCUCUCGCAUCGAUGAAGAACGCAGCGAAAUGCGAUAAGUAAUGUGAAUUGCAGAAUUCAGUGAAUCAUCGAAUCUUUGAACGCACCUUGCGCCCUUUGGUAUUCCGAAGGGCAUGCCUGUUUGAGUGUCAUGUUAACCUCAAUCCCCUCAGUUUUGUUACUUGAUGGUGGAUUGGAUUUGGGAGUCUUUGCUGGCCUCUAAGUUUCUGAGGUCGGCUCUCCUUAAAUGUAUUAGCUGGGCCUUCGCUCGAGCGCGGUGUGAUAAUUUUAUUCGCCGUCUGCACUUGUGUACAUGUGCCUGCUUCUAAUCGUCUCUCUGAGACAAUAACUUGACUAUUGACCUCAAAUCAGGUAGGACCACCAGUCCC